UGAACGCUGGCGGCAGGCCUAACACAUGCAAGUCGAGCGGUAGCACAGAGAGCUUGCUCUCGGGUGACGAGCGGCGGACGGGUGAGUAAUGUCUGGGAAACUGCCUGAUGGAGGGGGAUAACUACUGGAAACGGUAGCUAAUACCGCAUAAUGUCGCAAGACCAAAGUGGGGGACCUUCGGGCCUCAUGCCAUCAGAUGUGCCCAGAUGGGAUUAGCUAGUAGGUGGGGUAAUGGCUCACCUAGGCGACGAUCCCUAGCUGGUCUGAGAGGAUGACCAGCCACACUGGAACUGAGACACGGUCCAGACUCCUACGGGAGGCAGCAGUGGGGAAUAUUGCACAAUGGGCGCAAGCCUGAUGCAGCCAUGCCGCGUGUGUGAAGAAGGCCUUCGGGUUGUAAAGCACUUUCAGCGGGGAGGAAGGCGUUAAGGUUAAUAACCUUGGCGAUUGACGUUACCCGCAGAAGAAGCACCGGCUAACUCCGUGCCAGCAGCCGCGGUAAUACGGAGGGUGCAAGCGUUAAUCGGAAUUACUGGGCGUAAAGCGCACGCAGGCGGUCUGUCAAGUCGGAUGUGAAAUCCCCGGGCUCAACCUGGGAACUGCAUUCGAAACUGGCAGGCUAGAGUCUUGUAGAGGGGGGUAGAAUUCCAGGUGUAGCGGUGAAAUGCGUAGAGAUCUGGAGGAAUACCGGUGGCGAAGGCGGCCCCCUGGACAAAGACUGACGCUCAGGUGCGAAAGCGUGGGGAGCAAACAGGAUUAGAUACCCUGGUAGUCCACGCCGUAAACGAUGUCGAUUUGGAGGUUGUGCCCUUGAGGCGUGGCUUCCGGAGCUAACGCGUUAAAUCGACCGCCUGGGGGAGUACGGCCGCAAGGUUAAAACUCAAAUGAAUUGACGGGGGGCCCGCACAAGCGGUGGAGCAUGUGGUUUAAUUCGAUGCAACGCGAAAGAACCUUACCUGGUCUUGACAUCCACAGAAACUUAGCAGAGAAUGCUUUGGUGCCUUCGGGAACUGUGAGACAGGUGCUGCAUGGCUGUCGUCAGCUCGUGUUGUGAAAUGUUGGGUUAAGUCCCGCAACGAGCGCAACCCUUAUCCUUUGUUGCCAGCGGUUAGGCCGGGAACUCAAAGGAGACUGCCAGUGAUAAACUGGAGGAAGGUGGGGAUGACGUCAAGUCAUCAUGGCCCUUACGACCAGGGCUACACACGUGCUACAAUGGCAUAUACAAAGAGAAGCGACCUCGCGAGAGCAAGCGGACCUCAUAAAGUAUGUCGUAGUCCGGAUUGGAGUCUGCAACUCGACUCCAUGAAGUCGGAAUCGCUAGUAAUCGUAGAUCAGAAUGCUACGGUGAAUACGUUCCCGGGCCUUGUACACACCGCCCGUCACACCAUGGGAGUGGGUUGCAAAAGAAGUAGGUAGCUUAACCUUCGGGAGGGCGCUUACCACUUUGUGAUUCAUGACUGGGGUG
rnacentral:rRNA from 1 species